UAAUAAAUUUCAUAGCUCUGUUUUAUUUUCAAGGAUGCUUUUCCAUAGGUUUCCACUGUAGUGACAUCUCAGAAAAUUUUCCAAAAAGUAGCCAGAGGACUGUAUGUAUUUGCCUUUGAUUUUUUGAUAAAUAAUGAGUCUAUGCCUCUCUCAGGAUUAAUCAUUCACCUUUCUUUGGCUCAUGUUUGAUAUAUAACUGUGCUUUUCGUAUGAUAGAUCUAGUGAGAGGUAACGUUCUGCCAUCUUCCUGUUAUCUUCUAAAAGCUAGGGGUGGGGAAAGGUUACAAAAACAGUCUUUUUACACGUUUUCUUAACCUGAAAUUAAGACUGGAACUUUAAUAGUUGAAAGUCAGAUUAGUUAAAUGGCCUAAGAGCGUGAUGCUGAUUUUUGUUGUUGUUCAAUGACAGCAUGGUUCUUCCAGUGGUUGUGGUAGCUUUAAUAGCUGAACACUAAAAGUAUGAAGGGGUCUGAAAACUAAUUUAUCUUCUACGUAUUUGUGAGGUCCACCAGUAGUUAGUUUACAAGUUUGGAAGCUGAGAGAACUGCAUUGUAGCUUCCGAUCUUCACCUCUUCCAAGGGUGCGGGACUGCUGCAAGGAUAGCCUCAUUCAAGUUGUGAUGCAGUCAGUAAGGUUUUCAGGAUCAUACAAACAUCUAAGAGUGUUUCUUUUGUCCAACCAAAUCUCUGAUGUUUUGUGCAAAGUCAGUUUGACUCCUUUGAAACUUCUUUGUGAGCACACCCUUCAGCAGGUCACUUUGAGGCUUCCAUCUGAAAUGUUGCAUACAGAUUUACAGAUUUUUGCAAUGGUUACUUAGGCAAAAUCUUUAGCAACAAAUCAGUGCACCUGAAGCAUUUUAAAACCAACUCUAUGUGGGUGUAAGACAGAAUUAAACAGAAAAGAAUGUUAGUGGGAAAAUCUUUCACGAUUCAGCACCAGCUAUCCUCAGUGGUGGCACAAUUUCCCAAUAAAAGCUUUUUUUAAAUUUAUUUCUUUUUUUUGAUUUUAUUUUUAUCCUUUGUCUCUCUUUCCAUGAAGAAGGCUUGGACUCUGCUUGUAGAAUUGGUGACUAUAUAUGCUGCUAGAUAAUAUCCUAUCUAUCUAUAUACAUAUGAUAUUGGAGACGAUAUAUGCUGCUCGUCACUUGUUACCCCUAUUGUAACUUCUCUUUGAUGAAAGUGUUCUUUCUUCCAUGUCUCAGAAGCUGUCCUAGCUCUCUUCUGGCCAGGAAGGGGAGGCACAGGCCUCCCAAGUUGCACCUACAGCUAGCCUGAAAAGUGGCAGUUUAAUUUUUUAUUAAGUGUCUCUAACAAUAUGGCAAAUUAGGUUCUGAUUUAAAAUAUACAAUAAUAGCUCUGGGUGAGAUAUAGAGAACUGGAAGGUCUGUAACCCUGUCAUUUUCUUUAGUCAUAUCAGUGGAAAAUGUGACUAAAAAAAAUAAGUAAAAUGAAACAAAAACCAGAACAACAAAAAGUGAAUAUUGUCAGUCCUACAAAGAUUUAAAGAAAUGGCUGAAACAUAAGAAACAGAAGGAGUAGAAAUCUCCACAUCUUACAAGAAAUGGAGAUCAUCAACAAAUUUCCCUAGGUACCUUUGUUGAAAUAUAGGCUGUUCACAUCUCCACCUUAGGGAGGAGGUGGAGCAGUGAGGUGGCAGUUUGACAAUACCAAAUUAUUCAGGGUAGCAGGGACAACAGGAGGCUGAAGAAUUGCAGUCUGACAGUGAGAAUUCAAGAGUGAAUAGCUAUGAAGUGGAAAAGAACAAAAUACAAUGCAGGUAAAUUUUAGUGCUGGGAUAUGUAGCCUCGUGAAGAUGUAGGGUGAAAGCUCAGUAGUGUUUCAAAAAAGACAAACUGAAGGUUAUCAAUUAAUAGAAAAAGGACAGAACAAACAAAAAACAAAGGAUUAAAGCUUCUCUUGGAAGAAAGCAAGUAAGUUAGUGAUCAUCAGGCUGGAAAAGAGAUUAUCACAGAAUGGUUUGGGUUGGAAGGAACCUUAAAAGAUCACCUGGUUCCAACCCCCUGCCAUGGGCAGGGACACCUCCCACCAGAGCAGGUUGCCCAAAACCCCAUCCAGCCUGGCCUUGAACACCUCCAGGGAGGGGGCAUGAUGGGAAGGCAAGGCUUGGAACUAAUAUGUCCAAAACAUAAGUAGACAAACAGUUAACCAAUUGCCUCGUCCGUUAUAGGCAGUAGGAAUAAUCAAAAAGAAACUUGAGACCCAAGUUCGAACCGACCUGGUUCUUUAGGGGAAAAAAAAGUAAAAACA